UGAGGAACAUGACUUUCGGCGGGGGAUAGCCGGCCCAACGGCCGGGUAAUACCGCGUACGACCACAUAGGGACAUCCCUGAGUGGUGAAAGCAGCAAUGCGCCGAUGGAGUGCCUCGCGGCCUAUCAGCUAGUUGGUGAGGUAACGGCUCACCAAGGCGACGACGGGUAGCUGGUCUGAGAGGAUGGCCAGCCACAUUGGGACUGAGACACGGCCCAGACCUCUACGGGAG
rnacentral:rRNA from 1 species